GGUCAAUGAUGUCAUGUAAAAGGUCUGAUUUCAGCUCCUCCCCCCUCAGCCGCCAUCUUGGCUCCCAGCAGCCUCUGUUCUCUCCCAUCCUGCUCUAGUGAGGCAGCGGUGGUCCCAGGGGUUGCUGACACACAGGAUGUGACCUCACGGUUCAAGUCUAUACCAAGAUCCUAUAGGCUCAGUGAUGACUGACAUCCAACAGAACCAAUCAGCAAGGAGUGUCAGGCUGAGGGGGCGGGGUCUGAGACAUGAUCUCACCGUGUUACUGAGGCC